AUUUUCUUUGCAUAUUAUAUUAUUGGUAAAUUUUUUAAUAAUUUUGUGCCUCCAAUUAAGCGAUGGGGUGAUGUAUUGCUUUGAGUAUGCCUUAUGCUUUUAAUUACCUUGGGCGCACCAAGGCAUAUCAAAGUAAUGUUCCAAGUAUGUCCCCUUUUUUGCACCAAGGCAUGCCAAAGCAAUGUUCCAAGUAUGUCCCUUUUUUUUAGAACUAGAUACUCUCUCUUUCUUUUCUUUCCUUCUCUCUCUCUUUCUCCAUCCACCCACUUAGAUUUUUCUCAAAUAAAAAAUUUCCCUCUCCCUCUCUCUCUCUCUCAUUUCUUGCUGCGUAACUCUUUCAUCGGUCUCCGAUCCCAAAGCAUAACAAA
rnacentral:misc_RNA from 1 species